GCCAGCGCUAGGAACGCAGGGCACCACCAGCUACCCAGGCCGGCUUAGGGACUCCAGGCUCAUUGGAAGUGCUCCUGGCUGCGUCUCCAAGAAGCUCUCCCUGGAAUUGGCCGCUGGUUGUCCAGAUCUUUCUCUAGGAGGGCCAGUGCGUCCAGGACGCAGCAGACUUCCUGAGAUUCGGAGCGGGACAUUCACUUGCUUGUUGGGUUAUCUGCCAAAGACUAGCGGCGCGGGAACUCUGGCUGCGGGGAGAGGAAACCCCGAUAAUCGCCACUGCCAGCUGAAGCGAGUGGCACAGCGUUUGAAACUCUCGGAGCAGCCCGAGGUAGCGAGUGGGAAUGAGAAGCCAUCCCGGCAGAUUUGGCAGAAACUAAAAUAAGGUGUCCAUACGGUGUGGGGUCUCGCCCCCCCAUCAUCCCUAGCCCCGUGGAAAGGUGGGGAACUAAACGGAAAGCAUAAUCUUAAGUGGGUGGGGGGCGCAUGGGGGAAUCCCAGGUUUCUAGCGUCUUAGCGUUAAUGCAAGACCAGGCGAUCCCGGGACUUCUGCAUGCUGGGCUCUUCCCCCUUUCUCUCCACGAAUUAAAAAGUACGCCUCUUCGGCUUGUUAGUGGGGUCAGGGGGGGAGUGGAGGCUCAGGGCAGGCCAGCCCCCUCUCGGCCAGGCGGACCUCUGGCAAAAGAAUCCCGGCUCCCAGUCGGCAUCAUCUCUCGGAAGUUUGGGGUCUGGAAACUUGCCCCUUAAGUUUGUGUUCCACUUGAUCUGAGUAUUCUGCAGCCAAGGGCUGCAGUCAACUGGAUGGGUAUACGGAUUUAGGGUUUUAAAUGUAAGUAAACUCUCUGGAAGGCUUCUGUGUGUAGAUACAGUGUGUGUGUGUGUGUGUGUGUGUGUGUGUGUGUGCGCGCGCGCGCGCGCGCGCGUAGCGAACGUGAGCUGAUAAGUACGUCUCAGAAAACAUAAUGAUUAGGCAAUCCCUACCUGCACCUGUUUUCUUGGCGAAGUGGCCGACAAGGUCAAACUUUCUUAGGCAAAUCCAUCCUCUCCUACAGAAGCCAAUGUGCAAUAUCUCUGCCCUCCUGCCGUCUUUCCCGCAUGCCCUCUCUGGGCUUUUCUGGGCCCUGGAGGCUGUUGCUAAGUGAAGCGCGUUUUAGGAAACUACCCAACCGACGCGCGGCCUGGCGUCCAGUAGCUUCACAGAUGUCAGGUUUCUUUCCAAGUUUUAGGACCCAAGUAAACGUUGCAGUGACAGCGCCUGGGCUGCAUAUUUCCCAAGGCAGGGGAUACGGUGCUGGGCCGACACCCUCCCCGCAGCAGAUUACCAGGGGAAACUAGUCACUGCUCCCAGCUGUCUGACAUUUGAUCACACUUAGCCCGAGGCUUAGGUGAGCUCAUUUUUGCCCUACAUCCUCCUGCCAGAUUUACAGCAGUCUUUUGCCAGGACCAGGCACACUCUCCCAAUUCUCCCGGCUUCUCGCUGAGGCCAGCUCCCUCUCGGGGGGUAGAUACAUAAAAUCUCCGUAUCUGGUGGUUCUGGGGUGAUCUGCACAUUCUCAAGUAAGAGCCACGCCAGAUUUCCUUGGAAACUCUUGCCAGGACACUUUCUAAAUACAAGCUAUCAUUUCAAUAGACAAGCAAGGUUACCAUUGCGGGCGUGGGGAGAUGGGGGAAGGCUGGAAAUAAAUCAGUUCUUAGCCCACCUGCAGCGCAGGCUUAGCCACCAGCCCAGCGGCGCAACCUUCGCUAAGGGUCGGGAGAGGUGUCGCGACAGGUACCACAGCGCAGGAGGCCUCGGUUCCGGCUGGGGCUGCGGGAAGGCAGGGCAGCUGGCGGAGCCCCAACUCCAGUGUCUCCGACGCGCACCCUGCACCCAGCGAGGAAAGCAGAGGAACGCAGUGGGAACCAGGACCGAUCCUUCAACCUCUUCAGGAGAAGAGAGCGCGCUCAGCAGCUCUCUCGCCCUCUCCAGCCUCCAAGUGCCCUUGGGCGGUUCACAGAGCUCCGGAUCUGGCGCUGGGAACCCGACCAAGGCCUCCUCCCCAUUCCCCCGCCCUUCCUAGAGAGCUCCCGCUCCCUCCGACUGGAGCCAGCCCUGGGGCUCCCAGAACCCAGGGCGCGACAAUAGCGCCGUUUGUUGGCUUCGGUUGGAAACUUCACCCAGCGUAGCCUCUUGCCGCUUCGCCCUGCGGGGCUUGGAGGUCGCCCCAACCUUCGAAAGAGACCAAGCGGAUUUGCGGCGGAGCAGAUGUGAUGCCUAUCCUUAGAGGGCGGGUUAUAGCAAAACUCCGGGACCAAGACUCUAGCGUGACUGGCCCAAUGGGCUUUGGGUACAUAGGGCACCCCUGCUCUGCCUUCUUCCUAUUUCUAGGCUUGGCCGACAUCAGGUGUCCCAAGUGCCUUAUAUCUGCAAAGAACACUCAGCAAUUGUGCCUUAGAGCUACUGGUGGAAAGAGCAGGAAAGGAGCUGUCCCACGACUCGCGCGGAGGUAUCUGCAUUGAUUCCUCUUCAGUAACUGCUCAUAGGGGACCUUUUUCAAGGUCCCUGGCAUGAUUAGGACCCAACUUAUUAGAAGAGGUGCCCUCAGCCGGGCGCGGUGGCUCAAGCCUGUAAUACCAGCACUUUGGGAGGCCGAGGCGGGUGGAUUACCUAAGGUCAGGAGCUCGAGACCAGACUGGCCUACAUGGCGAAACCCCGUCUCUACUAAAAGUACAAAAAUUAGCCUGGCUUGGUGGCGUGCGCCUGUAAUCCCAGCUACUCAGGAGGCUGAGGCAGGAGAAUCCCUU
rnacentral:lncRNA from 10 species